rnacentral:rRNA from 1 species
CUGUUCAAGUUAGACAUCGCAAAAGCUUUCGAUUCUAUCUCUUGGGCUUAUCUCCUGGAGCUAAUGCAAAAGCUAGGUUUUCCACCGAGAUGGCGCGAUUGGAUCGCACUCAUCUUAUCGUCGGCCUCCUCUUCAGUACUACUAAAUGGGGAUCCGGGCGAUCGAUUCUGGCAUAUGCAAGGGUUAAGGCAGGGCGACCCCCUCUCCCCCCUGCUCUUCAUCAUCGCAAUCGACCCGCUCCACCACCUGCUUGCUGCUGCAUCUGACCUUGGGGUCCUGGCGCCCCUACCAGGCCGCGGCCAAAGCUUGCGGGUCAGCUUAUAUGCUGACGACGCAGUUAUCUUCGCCAACCCAUCUGCGUAG